rnacentral:rRNA from 1 species
CACGUAGGGGGCAAGCGUUGUCCGGAUUUAUUGGGCGUAAAGAGCUCGUAGGUGGUUCGGUAAGUCGGGUGUUAAACCCCCAGGCUCAACCUGGGGACGCCACUCGAUACUGCUGUGACUAGAGUCCGGUAGGGGAGCGUGGAAUUCCUGGUGUAGCGGUGAAAUGCGCAGAUAUCAGGAGGAACACCAGCGGCGAAGGCGGCGCUCUGGGUCGGUACUGACACUGAGGAGCGAAAGCGUGGGUAGCAAACAGG